rnacentral:rRNA from 1 species
UACAGAGGGGGCAAGCGUUAUUCGGAAUUAUUGGGCGUAAAGGGCGCGUAGGCGGCUUCGCAAGUGACGGGUGAAAUCCCUCGGCUUAACCGAGGAACUGCCUGUCAAACUGCGUGGCUUGAGACCAGGAGAGGUGAGUGGAAUUCCCAGUGUAGCGGUGAAAUGCGUAGAUAUUGGGAGGAACACCAGUGGCGAAGGCGGCUCACUGGACUGGUACUGACGCUGAGGCGCGAAAGCUAGGGGAGCGAACGGG